UCACUGCUGAUUUGGAGGGGAUCUGCAACCAACCGUAAAGCCAGCUCCUGAUACCAACAUUAAGUAGUUACAAGGUUUUAGAGAAAGCCCUCCCAAGCAAGUUGUGGAGGGCCCCACGGUCACCUCCAUUAUUAUAUUGGACUCGGCGUUUUGAAUUCAAUUCUGCUACUUCUGUCUCCCAGACCCAUUUCCGGCUAGGUAGUAUCACAGAAUAAAAUAAAAAACCUCUGCUGCUCCAGCCUCGUACUCUACCAUGAAAGAGAAACGGCGUAGGCUUCAUUUUUUCCCCCCACGCACUUGCAAGUUGAGGCACUGUAAUUUACCCAACACAAAUUCCUCUCAAGUGCCAGAUGGUGAUCUUCUCCAAUCACUUCCUCCUUCCUCACUCCGGUUUUCAAGGAAGCGAUGGAGGAAGUGAGUAGGAGCAAGCCUGGAGGGGCAGCACGAACAAAUGACCAAAGACAACAGUUAGGAAACAAUGCUUCAACAAAAGCUUAUGAAAACAGACAGACAUACGCACGCACGCACGCUAAGCGCCUCAGAGUAAACCUGGACUGUCAGGCAGAGGGGGGCCUGGGCGCCAGGCAGAACUUGCCUCCAAGGGAGAGAAAGGGCCCAUGCAGUACCUGCCAGCAACCCAGGCAACUUCUGUGAAAGUGCGAAAGGUCACUGAUUGAUACAGAACUCUGGCUGGGCCUGGUGGUUCAGCCAGGAUACUUGGGGAGCUGAGGUAGGAAGUUUGCAAGUUUCAAAGGUCUGCUUAGAGAGGGAGUUCAUGCGCUACCUGAAUUAAUUAGCAAACAAAAGAGCCUCCUUAAAUAUGGAACCCACCCCUCCCCCAAAGCCUCAAAGCCCAACUCUUCUUUCAGGAAAUAAAGUAGCACCCUGUACCCACCAAGUGUGAGUGACUGUGUUUGGGAAGAAACAAAGAUGGAAAUCACUGUGACUACCACAUUCCACCGUGGAGAGGGGUGGAUAAACAUUUAUUUGUUGAGACGGUGUCUCUCACUGACGUAGCCCAGGCUGGCCUUGAUGUCUUGAACCUCCUGUCUCAGUCUCCUGAGUGCUGAGAUUAUAGGUGUGAGUCACAGGCCGGGUCUUACACGAACCUUAUAUUUUGAUACUUAUUUAGGAAAAAUAGUUUAUGAGUACACACUGGGAGGGCAGCAGGUUGGGCAGUAACUAGAGUCCUGUGUGAUCUCGUAUGUCACAGAAAAGACGGCCAACAUAGUUACAGGAGAUAUUGCUGAGGUCAUCAGGUUGGGGGUUACAGUGAGGUGGGGACUCAUUCGGUUUGGGGAUUGUCCGUUUCACGUUCUUAGUGUUGGGCUGAUCGUGUCCAACUUAGCUACCCAUGCUAGAACACAAGAAGGUGUUACAUCCAGAGGGAGAGAGUAAACGGCUAUUUAAAGAACAUGAAGAUAGCCAAGGUCAUUUUGGCUGUUAACUGUUUCGACCCAUCUUUCCAUGCUCAACGGCGAUGCUCUGCUCGUCUGAGGUGUUCUGCUCAUGCGAGCUUAGGCAGGCUGCAGGAGCUGGGCUUCCAGAGGGCAGCAGUCUGUGUAGAAAACGCCCAUAGUUGAAUGAUUUGGGUGUGGGGAAGAGGGGCAAAUGAUCCAGGCUUACUGACAAAUUGAACCUAAUUGAAUUGAAUUGAAUUGAAUGUUGUGCAAUGUCCCAUGUACCGCGAUCCUGUCCUGGAUCCCAUGGCCACAAAUACCGUGAAGCAGUGUUUAUAAUUAGAUAUGCUAAUAAUAAGCAUUUAUUAACUUAUCCCAUUGGCAAGCAUCUCGUGAGGGACCCGUUUUACCUAGAGUUUCAGAGCCAGUAAGCACGGCUUUUGUUGUCUAGGUACUUCAGGAGAACCCAUGGGGAUAUACUCAACUGAUCCUCCUAGCUUCUUGCUGACCCGUUCCUGGAGUCAUCACAGCCCCCAGCCCCCACCCCCCUGUGUUCUACAGCCAGUGGAGUUCUGGAGACCAAACAGCUAUCACCAAUCAUUUCACCUCCAUGAGGAAGAACGUCUUCCAAAGCAUAGCUGGCACAGGACACAAAGCAUAGCUGGCACAGGACGGGAUGAACUUCUUCUAGAACGUUCUGAAUGUUUCCUGCCUAUCAGCCUCCUGCCAGGGUCUUCUCCCAUUCAGCUGUAUUGUCUCUUCUUGUUGGCUGCUCCACUGUUUGCCAUUGUACACCUGAACACCCUACUGUGGGCCGAGCAAGUUCCUCUAGAGAUGUAUCCUCCUCAGGGAAGCUUCUCUUCUCCUCCAGACUCCUGUGGAGCUUUCCCCUCAGCUCUCUGUGCAGCCCACUUCUCAGAUGCCCUGGGCCAAGUGGUGGGGGAGGAGCUGCUGCUAAACACUCCUAGUGUGAAGCCCAUUAAUGUUUGAAUUCUGAUAGGACCCAGUCUUCUGAACAUAACCACAGCUGCCUGGAGUUCCAGUCGGCAGCAGCCCUGUCAAGCCCAGAGGACAGCGGUUUGCAACGUUCUCCACUAUCCUGCUCCUACGUUUCAUCUGCAACACCCCCUCAUCUGAGACGCUUCCUGAGCCCUGGAGGGCAUAAACUACAUUAUUUGUCCCUGCCCCAUGUAUCAAGUUCUUGGGGAGGAAAAUAUGAACUCUUGGUAUUACAGAUAUUAAUCAUCAACCAGCUAUCGGCUGAACUGUAUGCUUGGGUUCCCAGGCUGCAAACAAUCGCUUUCACUCAUCCUGACAUGCUUCAGUUAAUCCCCACGAGGGCAGCUUUCAGGUCUCCUCUUGGCCUGACACCCUACGGAUCAAGUCUCCUGGAGCAAAAGGAAAACAGGACUAGAAGAGCUGGCUGAGAUGUUAAUAUGACCUAAAUCACAGGAGACCACAGAUUUUCACAGGAGCGUCACUACAGAAAAUGGCAAACGCCAAGGAAUGGCGAGUCCUUAUGGCCGGGCGAACAAAGCGCAGGCUUUGUGAGAAUGUCACUUCCCUCCGGCUUUGGGGAAGACGGGAGAGAAGUGCAUCUUCUCUCUGGAUCGUCUUCAAGCUGCUCCUGUCUCAGGGAGAAACUGAAGGCCUGGGGGUCCUGGCUUUGGAGUCUAACCUCCUCUUACAUUUAAUAGAUAAGAAGAUAGGACCCAGAGUGCUGAAACAAUCAGCCUAAAAAUUCAGGUUUCCUGAUUGUUUUUUUUUUUUUAAACAAUACAUUUUCACUGGGCGUGGUGAUUUGUGCCUUUAAUCCCAGCACUGGAGAGGCAGAGGCAGAGGCAGAGGCAGAGGCAGAGGCAGAGGCAGAGGCAGAGGCAGAGGCAGAGGCAGAGGCAGAGGCAGAGGCAGAGGCAGAGGCAGAGGCAGAGGCAGAGGCAGAGGCAGAGGCAGAGGCAGAGGCAGAGGCAGAGGCAGAGGCAGAGGCAGAGGCAAGUGGAUCUCUGUGAGUUCAAAGCCAGCCUGGUCUACAGAGCUAAUUCCAGGAUAGCCAAGGCUACCCAAAGGAACCCUAUCUCGGAAAAGAAAAAGAAAGAAAAUUAUUUUAUUUUUUAAGUUUGUAUGUCUGUGCAUUUUGCCUGCAUGGAUAUCUGUAUACCAUUCAGGCUGUGCCCUUGGGGGCCAUCAGACCCCCUGGAGUAUAAGCCAUUGUUACCUUACAUAUGGGUUCUGGGAAUUGAACCCGGGUCCUGUGGAAGAACAGCCAGGGCUCUUAACCUCUGAGCCAACUCUUCAGCAUUAUUAUUAUUAUUAUUAUUAUUAUUAUUAUUAUUAUUAUUAUUAUUAGUUUUUUUUUACAGUCCAGACUUUAUCCCCCUCCUGGUCCACCCUCUGACUGUUCUAUAUCCCAUACCUUCCCCUCCCCCUUGCCUCCAAGAGGAUGUUUCCAUUCCAAUCCCCCCCACUGUUUUUAAAUUUUCAGUCUUGAGGUAAGGAUUCUUGUUUCCCACACUGGCCUCAAAUUCUUCUUGUAGCCAAGAAGGACCUUGCACUCUUGACCCUUUAGACUCCACAUCCCAUAUGCUGUGAUUACAGGCUUAAGCCAGUUUUCCACUCGGCUUACGUGGUACUGGGGAUGAACCCCGGGCUUCAUGCAUGCUAGGCAAACUCUCUGCCCACUGAGUGACAUCACCAACCGUUAACUCGUUUUUGUUUUUGUUUUUGGUUUUGGUUUUUUUUUUCACCCUGACUUUUAAGAAGGAUACAAAAUUCCCGUUGCAUUUGCAAUUCAAGCAAUCAGGCCGAAGAGGAAAAACCAAACCAAACCAAAACCCGUGAUGUCCGUCCAUACUCUCCUCUGGCAAAUCUCAAGACUCCUCCACAAUCACCGCAGAGCGCAUGCCAAACCCGAUUGGGAGCCCCACUCAAUUUGGCAUGGAGUGUACUAGUUGCACAUCAGUGUGCUCUGGCUGAAAGUUCUCUCUCUCUGGAAGGGUGGCGUCUUGAAUCUCAUAGCUGUUGCCAGGACGUGUUAGUUUCUGGCAGCGUGACGGAGCAAAAGGUUAUAAAUAAAAUCAAAGCAUCCCAAAGGAACGGCGGGUUGAAAAUGCAAGACAGAAACUUCAUCUAAAUAGAAAGUCCUGUUGAUUAUCAUAUGUGGAAACCCAAAUCGGACAUGGUGCCUACAGAGACAAGUUUAUGAAUCAGGAACGUGGUUUCUCAAAGCCUUUUCCAGGCUCAGCUGAAGGGACACCGAAAAAUAUAGGUGCAGAUUUUUGGAUUCGUAUCAACAAAAAGGAAUUCCUUUUCCCUUGGUAGAUAACCCCCAUUCUUAUUUUCCAUUUCGUUUUUAUUUUAAGCAUUACUUACAGAACACUCUGGACUUGCUAGCAUGUAGGCCUUUUACCAAAUGAGUAUUCAAAGAACAUGGGUGGGAUAGGAAGAAAAUAAGCUUUGAGAAAGUCUGACUACUUACCAAGGUGAGAUUGAGGCCAGUUUCCAAACUUCCCUUCUCUGCCUCAGUUUCUCCAUUCUGUGUGUGUCUGUCUCUGUCUGUGUGUUUUAGUAUCCUGUUUCUGUGAUAAAACACCCCUCCAGGGGCUGGGGAUUUAGCUCAGUGGUAGAGCGCUUACCUAGGAAGCGCAAGGCCCUGGGUUCGGUCCCCAGCUCCGAAAAAAAGAACCAAAAAACAAAACAAAACAAAAAAAAAAAACACCCCUCCAGAAGUGACUUAAGGGAGAAAGGGUAUAUUUGGCUCUCAGGGUUGGGGUGCAGGAAUGCCUCACAGACCACAUAAAGUUUCAGUCAGACAGGGGUAGUUUAUUGAGCAUAUGCCCCAGGACUGGUCUACUAUGGCCAUGGUCCAAAUUUAGGAACUGAACCAUGACCCUGAGUUAAGAUCCUACAUGGUUUUUGAGCCCCAAAUCCAUAGACAUCUGUGCCAAGUUAUUUCACUGAUCAGGAUGUAGGGAUAGGAACAUGUCUGUGAUGGUUUGCAUAUGCUUGGCCCAGGGAGUAGCACUAUUUGGAGGUGUGGUCUUGUUGGAGUAGGUGUAUCACUGUGGGCGUGGGCUUUAAGACCCUACUCCUAGCUUUCUGGAGUGGAGUCUUGCACUAGCAGCCUUCAGAUGAAGAUGUAGAACUCUCAGCUCCUCCUGCACCAUGCCUGCCUGGACACUGCCAUGUUCCUGCCUUGAUGCUAAUGGACUGAACCUCUGAACCUGUAAGCCAGCCCCAAUUAAAUGUUGUCCUUAUAAGAGUUGCCUUGGCCAUGGUGUCUGCUCCCAGCAGUAAAACCACAACUAAGACAAUGUCUCUGUUGUAGACUUACCCUGCUCCCAUUGGUUGGGGUAUUCGACUGUGGCAGGGGACUUGCCUUGUCUAAUAUUCAUGUCCUAACUUGCCAACCAGGAUAUCAGUUACCCACGUACAUGCCUCUUCCUGCCAAGUAGAACUUAAAUUUUACUGGACCACUACUCAAAAUGGAAGUCUUAUUCCAAAUAGUUAUUUAUUACUGGGGCAGGUGUCUCUAUUAUGUUAGGGUCCAUCUCAGGAGCAGCUUAUACCAUAAACGCUUAUACAUAGGUGCAGGAAGCGCUGUGGGGUGGUUGACUUGGAUCCAAGAUUAUUGUGGGUAAAUAUACAAAGCAGUUCUGUUGACUUUUGUCAUGACUGGUUCCCAAGGGCACAGAAUGUAACAGACUAUGCAAUCAAUCUUGGCAUUACGAAGUUUCUUAGUAACUGCAGAAACAUAUGAGAAAGUUUCCUUACAAUAGCAGGCUAGCCAGGUAACUGUUACCUAGGCCUUAACAUUCCAGUUAGGCCUUAAUGCUCAGUUCCAGGCUACAAGGCACCCUUGUGGGGAAAUGAAGGCAUCAAGAACACGGAGGAACGGUGGGUUGGGGAUUUGGUUCAGUGGUAGAGCGAUUGCCUAUGGGUUCGGUCCCCAGCUCCGAAAAAAAAAAAAAAACCACGGAGGAACCAGUCAGAUCACAUUCACAGCCUAGAGCAGACAACAAUGAAUGAAUGCUUUCGUGCCAGUGCUCAGCUUGCUUUCUCCAUUCAUAAAAUCCAGAGUCCCCUGCCUAGGGAAUGUGCUACCCACAGUGGGCAUCUCUUCCCAGCUCCAUUAGCAUAUUAAAGAGAACCCAACACAGAUAAUGUUCAACAAAACCAACCUAAAUAAUCUUUCAUUGAGAUUCUAUUUCCAAGCAAUUCUAUAUUGUGUUAACAAAAAACCAACUACAGUGUAUGUUCAUACAUGUACAUGUAUGUGUGUAUGUUCAUUUGUGUGUACAUGCCUGUGCUUGUGUGCAUGUGAAAGCCACAAGUCAACCUUUCCUAUUGUUUCUCAGGAGCAAUCCACCUUCUUUUUGGAGACAGCUUCUCUCACUAGGACCCAAGGCUAACACAUUAGACUAGGCUGGCUAUUGAGCCCCAGGGGUUCACUUGUCUUCAGCUCCGGCACUGGGAUUACAAGUGUGAGCUGACUCACUCCCAACUUCUUUAAUGCAGGUUCUGGAACCAAACUCAGGUCCUUGUGCUUCUCCGGUGAGCACUCUACCAUCUGAGCAAUCCCUCGUAACUUUGGCUCCACUGUUUCUUGAGAGGUCUCAUUCUGUAGCUCAGGAUGCCCUCCAAUAUAUGGAACAGGACUGUCUCCACUCCCUGCCUCCCCCAACUCCCAAGGCCGAGAUCACAGCUGAAUGCCAUGUGACCUUGUUUUUCCUUUGUUCUUUGGAAGACCUUGCAUCUAUCAAUGGGAAAAAAAAAAAAAAAAAAAAAAAAAAAAGAACCUCUCGGUGUCUUAAUAAAUACGGAGUCAGGAGAUCUCUCUCAGUGUGGAAUCUCUGAUUUAUGUCCCUGUCAUUCUGCACCUAAAUAUCAGGUAGAAUGUCAUAAAAGUCAUUCGUUUGGGGAAUGGAACCCAGAGCCUUGUGUACAGUAAGCAAGUGCCUUCAGUCUGCAUCUUCGGUCCCCUGAGAGUCACUCUCGAAUGUGAGCUAAGGAGAGACAACUGGGGUCUGCUCGUGAUCAGUUGUCCCCAUAGGCUGGCUUUGUUGGGAAACGGCACUAGGGCAGAAGCCAAAGGGGGGUCCUUAACUCACAACCCCUCUUCGGUGUUCACGUUAACCUGUAGGUAGAACCGGCAGUCAGAGAAACCCCAGGUAUUCACCCGAUGAUGCUCCCUGUGUACCUACUAUGUGUCCUCCGGGGCUGUUCUAGGUGGCAGAGAUGGAACAUGGAUGAAAUGGACAAAACCCCCAGCCUGGAGCUGAGGGCAGCUGGGUAGCACACAAGAAGAAGCCAAUACAGGGGCUGUCAGGGGCUGUUGAGUGUGGGGGGCAAAACAAGGCAGAGAUGAUGUGUCUUGGUGCGCGUUCUCCUGCUACGAUAAACACCAAGACCAAAAGCAGCAUAAGUAAACGGUCUAUUUGGUCACCGUUCAUAAUCGAGGAAAGUCUGGGGAGGGACCAGGAGACAGAACCGAAACAGAGGCCAUGGAGGGAUAUCGCUUACUGGUGUUCCCAGCAGCCUUUCUUAGACAAGCCAGACCACCUGCCCCGGGAUGGCUCUGCCCCACAGUGCUGGGUCCUCCCGUGUCAAUCACCAAUCAAGAAAACGUCCCACAGACUUGCCUACAGGUCAGUCUGAUGAAGGUAAUUUUCUCAUUUGAGGUUCCCUAGAUGCUAGCUUGUAUCAAAGUAACAAAACGCUAGCCAGCAUACCAAGCCUGCGGUGAAGCUGGAAGCUGCAAUUUUGCUUAAGGUGAUGGGGCACAGACUUGGAGGUGGGGAAGUGGGCAUGUGGAAGCUUCCUAGUAGAAGGAGAGCUGUGAGGCAGGCACCGGAGUUCUCUCCCCCUUUCUCCUUAUCCGGGAUCCACGAGUGUGCUGCGGAUGGCACCCAGGGCCUUGUGCGUACAAGACAAGGGCACUGCCCUUGUGCCCUUGAGCUGCACAAAACUGAAGCCGGUUCAUUUCAGGCAGCCCUGCCCCAAAGGAGGCCGGUGAGUGUGCUUCUGCGCAUGCUUGCGCACAGCCUGUCCCUUGGUGCUCAGAGAGAACCCAGCCCUCUCUACUGACACCUUCCUGAGGCUGAGGCUUCUCACCGGUGGUUUUCAUGGAAAAUUGGCAGCUUUUCUAGUCACCCCACCCGGAGCCCUGCACCACAUUCCAGUGGCGUUAUUUGUGUGCCUUGGAGCCCUGCCAGGCAGGGCCCGGGACAGGUUGCCAUGGUGAUCUCUGCACAUUCUCCAGAGAAGUUUUCAAGGAUGUUGUCUUCAGGUCUGAAAUAGUUUUCACUAGCAGGGCAAAUGAGGGAUGAAUUCUGGUGUGAGCAGAGCUCGGAAAUCUGCCUGUUUUUCUCAGUCUUUGAAUUUGCACUCUGUAAUGUGGGUGAGAAAGACUGAGGGAAGGGACAUCACGGCCCCCCUGCAUUUGGCUUCACUUUGAUACAUAAAGAGCUCGCUAAAGUAGGUUUUUAAAAUUUAUUUUUUAUUUUUUAUAUUUUUAGUUCGUCAAGAUGGAGUUUCUUUCUUUCUUUCUUUCUUUUUUUUUAGUAUUUAUUUAUUUAUAUGAGUACAUUGUAGCUGUCUUCAGACACACCAGAAGAGGGCAUCAGAUCCCAUUACACAUGGUUGUGAGCCACCAU